rnacentral:rRNA from 1 species
GACGAGCGCUGGCGGCGUGCCUAAUACAUGCAAGUUGAGCGAUGAAGAUUGGUGCUUGCACCAAUUUGAAGAGCAGCGAACGGGUGAGUAACGCGUGGGGAAUCUGCCUUUGAGCGGGGGACAACAUUUGGAAACGAAUGCUAAUACCGCAUAACAACUUUAAACAUAAGUUUUAAGUUUGAAAGAUGCAAUUGCAUCACUCAAAGAUGAUCCCGCGUUGUAUUAGCUAGUUGGUGAGGUAAAGGCUCACCAAGGCGAUGAUACAUAGCCGACCUGAGAGGGUGAUCGGCCACAUUGGGACUGAGACACGGCCCAAACUCCUACGGGAGGCAGCAGUAGGGAAUCUUCGGCAAAGGACGAAAGUCUGACCGAGCAACGCCGCGUGAGUGAAGAAGGUUUUCGGAUCGUAAAACUCUGUUGGUAGAGAAGAACGUUGGUGAGAGUGGAAAGCUCAUCAAGUGACGGUAACGACCCAGAAAGGGACGGCUAACUACGU